rnacentral:rRNA from 1 species
GUGACAGCAGCCGCGGUAAUACGAAGGGGGCUAGCGUUGUUCGGAAUUACUGGGCGUAAAGCGCACGUAGGCGGAUCGAUCAGUCAGGGGUGAAAUCCCAGAGCUCAACUCUGGAACUGCCUUUGAUACUGUCGAUCUAGAGUAUGGAAGAGGUGAGUGGAAUUCCGAGUGUAGAGGUGAAAUUCGUAGAUAUUCGGAGGAACACCAGUGGCGAAGGCGGCUCACUGGUCCAUUACUGACGCUGAGGUGCGAAAGCGUGGGGAGCAAACAGGAUUAGACCCUAGUAGUCC